rnacentral:rRNA from 1 species
UACGUAGGGGGCAAGCGUUAUCCGGAUUUACUGGGUGUAAAGGGAGCGUAGACGGCUGUGCAAGCCAGAUGUGAAAGCCCGGGGCUCAACCCCGGGACUGCAUUUGGAACUGUGUAGCUGGAGUGUCGGAGAGGCAGGCGGAAUUCCUAGUGUAGCGGUGAAAUGCGUAGAUAUUAGGAGGAACACCAGUGGCGAAGGCGGCCUGCUGGACGAUGACUGACGCUGAGGCUCGAAAGCGUGGGGAGCAAACAGG